UCGCGGCCUAUCAGCUUGUUGGUGAGGUAAUGGCUCACCAAGGCGACGACGGGUAGCCGGCCUGAGAGGGUGACCGGCCACACUGGGACUGAGACACGGCCCAGACUCCUACGGGAGGCAGCAGUGGGGAAUAUUGCACAAUGGGCGAAAGCCUGAUGCAGCGACGCCGCGUGAGGGAUGACGGCCUUCGGGUUGUAAACCUCUUUCAGUAGGGAAGAAGCGAAAGUGACGGUACCUGCAGAAGAAGCACCGGCUAACUACGUGCCAGCAGCCGCGGUAAUACGUAGGGUGCGAGCGUUAUCCGGAAUUAUUGGGCGUAAAGAGCUCGUAGGCGGUUUGUCGCGUCUGUCGUGAAAGUCCGGGGCUUAACCCCGGAUCUGCGGUGGGUACGGGCAGACUAGAGUGCAGUAGGGGAGACUGGAAUUCCUGGUGUAGCGGUGGAAUGCGCAGAUAUCAGGAGGAACACCGAUGGCGAAGGCAGGUCUCUGGGCUGUAACUGACGCUGAGGAGCGAAAGCAUGGGGAGCGAACAGGAUUAGAUACCCUGGUAGUCCAUGCCGUAAACGUUGGGCACUAGGUGUGGGGACCAUUCCACGGUUUCCGCGCCGCAGCUAACGCAUUAAGUGCCCCGCCUGGGGAGUACGGCCGCAAGGCUAAAACUCAAAGGAAUUGACGGGGGCCCGCACAAGCGGCGGAGCAUGCGGAUUAAUUCGAUGCAACGCGAAGAACCUUACCAAGGCUUGACAUGUUCUCGAUCGCCGUAGAGAUACGGUUUCCCCUUUGGGGCGGGAUCACAGGUGGUGCAUGGUUGUCGUCAGCUCGUGUCGUGAGAUGUUGGGUUAAGUCCCGCAACGAGCGCAACCCUCGUUCCAUGUUGCCAGCACGUAAUGGUGGGGACUCAUGGGAGACUGCCGGGGCAACUCGGAGGAAGGUGGGGACGACGUCAAAUCAUCAUGCUCCUUAUGUCUUGGGCUUCACGCAUGCUACAAUGGCCGGUACAAUGGGUUGCGAUACUGUGAGGUGGAGCUAAUCCCAAAAAGCCGGUCUCAGUUCGGAUUGGGGUCUGCAACUCGACCCCAUAAAGUCGGAGUCGCUAGUAAUCGCAGAUCAGCAACGCUGCGGUGAAUACGUUCCCGGGCCUUGUACACACCGCCCGUCAAGUCACGAAAGUCGGUAACACCCGAAGCCGGUGGCCUAACCCUUGUGGGGGGAGCCGUCGAAGGUGGGGCUGGA
rnacentral:rRNA from 1 species